CGAAAGCCUGAUGCAGCAAUGCCGCGUGUGUGAAGAAGGCUGCGGGUUGUAAAGCACUUUCAGUGGGGAGGAAACAGUUGCGGGUUAAUAUCCCGCGACCUUGACGUUACCCACAGAAGAAGCACCGGCUAACUCUGUGCCAGCAGCCGCGGUAAUACAGAGGGUGCAAGCGUUAAUCGGAAUUAUUGGGCGUAAAGCGCGCGUAGGCGGUUUGGUAAGUCGGAUGUGAAAGCCCCGGGYUUAACCUGGGAAUUGCAUUCGAUACUGCCUGGUUAGAAUGUAGUAGAGGGAAGUGGAAUUCCGGGUGUAGCGGUGAAAUGGGUAGAUAUCCGGAGGAACAUCAGUGGCGAAGGGGAUUUCUUGGACUAACAUUGASGUUGAGGUGGGAAAGGGUGGGGAGCAAACAGGAUUAGAUACCUUGGUAGUCCACGCCGUAAACGAUGUCAAUUAGAUGUUGGGGGGUUUAACCCUUUAGUAUCGCAUAACGCAUUAAGUUGACCGC
rnacentral:rRNA from 1 species